UGGGGAAUAUUGGACAAUGGACCAAAAGUCUGAUCCAGCAAUUCUGUGUGCACGAUGAAGUUUUUCGGAAUGUAAAGUGCUUUCAGUUGGGAAGAAGAAAGUGACGGUACCAACAGAAGAAGCGACGGCUAAAUACGUGCCAGCAGCCGCGGUAAUACGUAUGUCGCAAGCGUUAUCCGGAUUUAUUGGGCGUAAAGCGCGUCUAGGCGGUUUGGUAAGUCUGAUGUGAAAAUGCGGGGCUCAACUCCGUAUUGCGUUGGAAACUGCCAAACUAGAGUACUGGAGAGGUAGGCGGAACUACAAGUGUAGAGGUGAAAUUCGUAGAUAUUUGUAGGAAUGCCGAUGGGGAAGCCAGCCUACUGGACAGAUACUGACGCUAAAGCGCGAAAGCGUGGGUAGCAAACAGG
rnacentral:rRNA from 2 species